rnacentral:lncRNA from 1 species
AUGGAGGUGGCAAGGAUGAGAAUGCUAAGGUGGAUGUGUGGGCACAGAAGGCAAGGUAAUUGAAUCAUCAAGCGGAAAAGCCGGAGCGGACACGCGCUUGAAGGAUAAAACUUUAAAAGGUGAUGUAGGUGGCAUUCCGGAUGGUGAUCAAGCAUAAGUUACGAACCGAACAUGAUACUUUUUGAGGCUUCCGCGAAUGAUGUCUUUUAGUUGUUUGUUCUAAAAACAUGUGAACUCUUAGAUGUUUAAAACUAGUAUGGUUAUGUAACUUAUACAACUUAGUUUGUUUCAACAUUAACUCUUCAAAGUUUUUUAAUGGUCGUAUUUUUACUUA